rnacentral:misc_RNA from 1 species
UUACUUUAAUAGACAUCAAUUAGACUACGACAAGCAGUAUAAAAGAAUACCGUUAGCGCGGGAUUUGUUUAGUUAGGGACGGUUGGCUACCGAUAAGAGAAACAGACAGAGAAGAAGAAAAGAAUCGCAAGUUUAUUCAAGAACAUUUUACAAAGAUAACUACAUACAGAAAGAUGGAAUUCCUCAAGAGCCUAAUCGUGGUUGUUCUCGUUGUCAUGGUGACUGUCCAUACUGGUGAAGGCUCUAGUUGUACGAAUGGCUGUCGGGGAGACUACACCGGCUGUUUCCUUUCAAGGGGCGUGAAUAUCGAGGACGUCGGCGCGUGCAGGGAAGAGCUUGUUGAUUGCUUGCAAAAAUGUUUACGUAAAACCAGAGAAAUCCGCGCCAACAUGGCGGCCUAGGAAUAUCUCAAGAUCUUAUAAAUAAUAAUAUAAUAAUGAUAUAAUAAUAAUGUUAAGGAAAAAAAAUGAAACAAAUGCAAUGCAAUCAAGCCAAUGUAAUCUUUCUGUAGAGAUGUGUUCGAAUAAUUUACUUCAAUAAAAGAUCGUUUCAAAUCUG